UCCCUUGUUCUCCUAAUUUGCUUAGAGUAUCAUCUUUUAUGUUUAAAUUACGAAUCCAUCUUGACUUCAUCUUAGUAUAAAUUGUUAGAUAUUGGUCAGUGCCUAGUUUCUGCCAUACUAUUUUUCAAUUUUCCCAGUAAUUUUUGUCAUAUAAUGAAUUCUUAUUGCAAGUAACUUGUAUAGGUAUUGGAAUUAAAUUGUUCUUUAAAAGGUUGGUGGAAUUCACUUGUAAAUCCAUCUGGCCCUGGAGAUUAUUUUCUUAAGGAGUUCAUUAAUGAACUGGACUCAGAGUCAAGACAACCCAUAUCCAGUUCCCACCUUUGAUCCUAUAUCUAUAACCAUUAGUAAGUCACUUAACCUCCCAGUGCUCUAACCAGGAUGCUAAGACUAUCAGUUUCAGAUUAUGUGCCGACCUGCUUUGGCAGAGGGAAUUUCAUCACUGAGGAAUUCCGUGUACUUUAUACCAAUGAAAUUAUAAUCCUUAUUCCUAUCCCUGGGCCUCAGUAACAUCCCUGGGUCCAAGUAACAUUUAGUAUACAUUUAAUUUGAGAGCAGGGUAUUGACUUGUCCUACAAAUGUUUCCAUCUGAAUAUGAUUUAAAAAAAACAAACAAACAAACAGGUGAAAAGAACGUCUUAGGCCUUCUUUUUCUCAGCAUUCUCUCCCUUGGUGAUUUUGUCUUCUCAUGCAUUUUAAAUUAUUAGCAAGGUAAGGUGACAGUGAAAAAGACUCUGACUUUGGAAAACUUGUAUUCAAAUCCUGCUUUUCAUGUGGUUCAAUCUUAGAAAAGCACCUUAAUCUUAUUGGCCCUCAGUUCCUUUUUAAAAUGAGAGGAGAGGAUUAAUUGACUUCUGAGGUCUCAGCCAUCUCUAUAUCCUCUGAUUUCUUUAUAUAAUUGACUUUCAGAUUUUUUUUUAGUCCUAAUCUCUCUCUCAAACUCUGUUGCAUCACUGUCUGCCUCUUCCUUUUAAAAUGAAUGUCCCAAUGGUACCUGAAUUCAGCAUGCCCAAUACUGGACUCCUCCCUUCAUAAACCCACUACUUUUCUCUUCAUAGUGGAAGACACCACUAUCUUGCCACCUGUCCUGAUAUAUAACCUGAGAAUCAUUUUUGACUAUUUCUACUACCUCUCAUCUCUUAUUUGUUUGGUCCUAUUGAUUCUACUUCCAAAGAAUGUAUUUUAUCUCUUCCAGUCUACUCAUAAAGCCACCAUUCUGUAUGUCUAAUUAGCAGAGAGAUGAAUUAUUUUAAUAAGGUAUUAAUUGGCCCUUUUGCAUCCAGUUUCACUCCUUUUUUCAUUCAAUCCUUCACACAUCUUGCAGAAUACAGGCAGAAAGCUUCAAUGGAAAGAUUUGAUCAGGUUCACAAUAGAACAAUAAAAGGGAGAAAUAGAAUUAGCACAGUUUCCAUAUAUGUACUCCAAAAAAAGUGUAAAACAAAAAGUUCAUGCUGAAUGAUUAGGAAAAGAGAAACUACAGUGAAUAUCUUCAUUCAGUCUAAAGUGGCGAAAAGAAACACUCCCAAAUCUGUGGACUUGAGCAAGAGCCUUCCAGACAGGAGCCCAGAGUGAGUUAAGUGUAGCUCUGGAGGCAUUCCAGCUAUAUACCUGAAAUUCCUAGGGUGCGCCAACAGGCAUGCCCCUUAAUGAACCUGAAAGACUUUGUUUUUAGCAUGCUGCUGCCAAAGUAAUUUUCCUUAAGUGCAAUUAUGACUGACUCCCCUGAUCUUCCAACUCUAGUCCUUUCCUAUUGAUUCUAAGAUAAAAAUGUAAACUCUUCUGUUUAGCUUUUAAAGCUCUAAACAUCCAGUCUACAAUCUAUCAUCUUAACUUCAUUGGACCUUAUAAUCUCUUCAGAAUUCUGUGAACUAAGCAAACCAACCUUCUCUCUAUUUGCCCACACUUGACAUUCUUUCUCUCCAUUUCUUUGCACUGAUUUUUUCCCCAUUCCUUUAAUACAGUGCUUCCUUACUUCACUCUCACAGAGUCUCUUUUCAUUUAAACCUUUAGUUGCUAUCUUUUUUCUUUAGAAUAAAAUAUAAAGUCUAUAACUAAGACCUUUUGCAGUCUGACUUCAACUUAUCUUUCCAACAUUAAUUCAUAUUCAAGAAUUGUCUUUCAAUUAGUCUGGAACUAUCUCAGCUAAUCUCCAAAAUAGAAGAACUAUCUCCUCCCCUUUGUGCAUUUGAACAGACUCUUCCCCACACCUGCUUAGAUUUUUCAGAUAUCUUAAUUUUCUUUUAGAGGAUCCAUUGAGUAGCCAAUUUUUCUAUAACCUUUACUGAUCUAUCCAGCUGUUAGUACUCUCUUGGUAUUCAAAUGUGUAUUAUUUUUGAACGUGUUGUAUACCUCACCUCUUGUAAAUUCCCUUAUACUUGUUUAAAUGCUGUAUCUUUUAUAAAAUCUAAGGUCUUUGUAGGUAGGGAUUGCUGUUUUUAUCUUUUUGUUCCCAGAAUCUAACCAAACACCUUGCAAAUAAUAGGCGUUUCAUAGAAGGUUUUUUUAACAGAGUCAAUUUGAAUAUUGAAUUCACCAAGAAUUUUUUCAGAGGUUGGAGAGAAGACUACUGACUAAAAUUCAAAUUGUAGAGGAAUAUAGAAAUGUUUUGGGGGCAAAGCGGGGAGGGCAGAUGUCAGUCAAAGGCAUAUAUAUGAUUAAAAAACAAAACAAAACAGAUUUGUCAUUGACUGAUAGUACUUGGCAUCUGACCAGAGUCAUAUGAUGCAGUUAUAUUUAAGCACUGCUGCAAACUGUAGAUACAUUUGGUUCUGAAACAGUACUUUAAAAAUGAGAAUUUGUUCCAGUGCAAUUGAUAAAUUAGGGAAUAGUUUGAACACAACAUGAAUGGUUUGCUUAUGCUGUUUUAUUCAGGAAAAACAGAAUGAAGAAAACUGUUCUCAUCUGCAAAAAAGACAAAAAAAAGCAAUGAGCUCUAUCUGUCCAUAUUUGCUUUUAUAACUUUCCACCUGAUGUCAAAUAAUUUUACUUCUGCCACUUCACAAUAGUUCGUAAGCUGCAUCCUUUUCAAUACUUCCAAUCUUUUGACACUUCAGCUCUUCUUGAAGGAGUACAUUUCAGCUAUGGACAGCUUCUGGCCAAUACAGGUGUUUCUAAUAUAAGAAAUACCUCUUCCCUCCCUCCCUGCCAAGGGCUUAUCUUACCUUCUAUUUCCUUUUAUGGGACCCUGUGUGGACCUUGUAUUUUUCAGACACUUCAGGAACAAUUUGAGUGUAACAUCAUGCCUUUUGAACUGAUUUUUGCCCCUCCAAUAUUUUAGUGAUUACUGAAUGCAGUCAUGACUUGGGAAUAAGAGGGAGUCCCUUGUACAUAAAAUAAGUCUUGUGGAAAGAGUAUGUAAAUAGAUCCAUAAAAAAUGGAUGUUGUACAACCUUGGAAGUUACCAAGGAUCAUUGUGGCCAUUCAGCAAUACCUGUUAUUUGCUACAUCACUUCACCCUAAUCUUUUCUGGUCUGAUCCCAUAACUCAUGAUAUAUACUCCAGGACUCAAAGAUUUUUCACUGGACCCCAACCAUCAAGAAGCCUUUUAGGUAAGCAGAAAGAUGAUUCAAAAUGGCACUGAUGCUAGUCCAUAAAAGCCUUUUGUUGUGGAAAUAAAUAUCCCUAAUAUGCCAGUAGGGGUUAUUCUCUUCAUAACUCUUCCCUUUGGUAUUCAACCUCUUUGCAUAUUUGUUUAUACAUGAGCUAUCUGCAGCACCCCAAACUUUGCAACUUUGGGUGAGAAACUUCAGGAAAAGAUAUGCUGACCGCGAAGACGACUUUUGAGACCUGGCAUUUUCACUUGCAAAGGACCUUUGCUAUAAUUUUGCUCCAUCUUAAGAAAUAGGAGCACUUCUAACCAGGCCAAAUGACAACCAGAUAAAGAGGACUUCUCUUGAGCCAAUUCACUUGCUCCAUAGUAUACGUCCCUGGUCUCCACCAUGAACAAACAUCCUCCAACGUGGAAGACAAAACAUUUACCAUCACCACCACUGUCCCCUGCCCUCUAGACAAGCAGUUGCUCAGAAAAUUUUACAACCAGUUUCUUCAAGUUGAUCUGACAAAAGGCAUGAGAUUCUUACUCUCAGAUGUAACUUUUAAUCAUUUAAGGGAAGACCUUGCUAAGUGGGUGUAUCUGAUGACUUUUCAAAACAUCUGCCUUCUGUGUCUUCAGUCUUGCCCCCACGUUGGGUGAAGGAACUCAAUUGGUUUUAUUUUUUUGUUACACCUUGUAGACUGCCUCCAGGUUAAGGUUUAUUUCUGUAUAACAAUUCUCAAAUCUGGUGGUCUGCUAGAAAAACCGACAGGACACUAGAGAUAUAACUUGACUCUUAGACUUUGUAUCACCAGAAUGACUGAUUAUCAUUUCUGUCCAUCAUAGAGAGCUGCUGUAAUAACUUAAUCCAUACUUUACACCUUGAACACUAUUUUUUAUUCAGAAUAUGGUUUUUGCCUUUAUUUUGUUUUUACAUAGCACAGUCCCAUCUCAUCUCACUUUUUCUGCAGCACCAGCAAUAAAUAACUUUUUGGAGGAACCUAGAGGGAUCACAGGCUAAUUUACAAGAUAAAUUACACAUACUUUAAAAAGCCCACAACAGUUCUUUGGAAGUGGGAAAUUAGAUCUGAUUGAGAACCUAGACCCUACCAACAGACAAUCAGAAACUGACUGAUCUAACAAUAGGACCUUUCCCUAUUGUUCAAGUAGCAAGGCUCAUAUUUUACCAGCCACUGCCCCUCUCGUCCAUGCCUAUUUACAUUGUGUUCCUUUGAUCUCUGUUCAGCAGCAUGUAUGCUGCACCACAAAAGCCUCUGGACUGACUGGUGAAAGAACUAAAAGUAGUCGUUGAUAUUUCUAGAUUCAAGAAGCACCUCUGGGAUUUGGUCAUGGGAAGAAGUAGAGUAGAGGAAGGAUUCUGAGUGUCAGCUUACCACCUCAUUCCCCAAAGUGAAGGGUUUCUCCAAGACUGUCUCACCAAACCUGUGUCAUGAGCAAGGAAGGCUUCCUGAGCAGAGGAGUUAUAUCUUUGGUCCCAUGGGUUUAAAUGACAAAAGGGGGCUGCUCAGAAAGUAUUUGAGCUGCUAGGCCCGCCCCCACCACCAAUAGCUUAUGGAAGUUAAGGAGGGCAAUGACAACAUGAGAAGUUCCCUGUUUUGAUGAACUGUGAGAAUGGGAUCAUUGAGGUAACAACUGGGACUAAAAUUAUCUUGUACCUCUGCAGUCUUUGAGUGUGAUAGAUUACAUUCUCAUUCCUUGAAAAAUCACUUUAAUGCUGGCAUUAAACACUUGGCAUCGACUAAAACCUUGGGGGGGGGGGGUCAAUUUUACUUCUACUCUUACUGGGAAUCACCUAUUUUUACUCUUCCAUGUUUUAAAUGACCUUCUGUCUCUGGUACUUUCUAACUAAACUGGCCUGUCCUUUUAAUUUAUAAUUGGCAGGUGCUCUAUAGUCCUGGACAUUUCUGUGCUGGAACAUUCCCAUUUCCUUUCCCUUAUAAGAACAAGAUCAAGACAGGGUUUGAUCUAAACAAGAACCUUGGUUUGUUUUCUUACUUGGGUUCUGGAAUUCAUGGAAUAGUAGCACUUAAAAAUAAAGCAAGAUUGUCCUAUCCCAACUAAAUUCUCACAAGUGUAAGGUCAGAGUCAGGCUGUAUAAACAACUUUAAUCCUAUUCACACUUGACCAGGUCAGUGUUUGGGUGAAAUGAAAAGUAAGUCUCAACAGUGCUACUGGGCUGAAAACCCAGGGUGGUUGGUAUAGAUCUGAUGGUCAAGGAUCACCAAGGCCCACUUUAGGAAUGCAAGUUAGUGUUCUGAAGAGGUCAUUUAGGAGGAAACAACCCAUAAAAUCUGUCUUAAUUACCUACUCAGGUGUGGAGUUUUCCAUCUGGAGGAAAAAACGGCCAGAACAUACCGAGUUGAGGGUCUGAGAUUGUAAAUCACAGAAGUCAUCUUGACUAUGAUAGAACCAUUCACCCACCCAGGAUAAGUAGGUAGCAAAUUGAUAUUUUACAUUAAAAGUAAUAUCUUUUAACAAAACACGUUUCAAUGAAUUUUUGGUGUUUUUUUUUUUAAGUGAGGACAAGGAUGGUUAUAGCUAUUUUUACUCUUAAAUUUUUAAAUAUGCAAAUUUCAUAUAAAAAAUAUAAGAAUAUAAGACAAAAUACAAGAAUACAACAUUCCAGAGAAACUUGGAGUUAUCAUAUAUCAAUUCUUAAUUAAUUCUAUCCCCUACCUGCUGAAAAGAAGUUUAGUGUGGGGCAGCCUUGGAUGAGAUCUGGUGUCAGUCAUGUCUUUGAUGAUAACUAUGAUUGGGAGCAGGUCAUUUAACCUUAGAGCAAUUCCUUAUGAUAGGAAGUUAAAGAUGAGGUGGUUAUAGUCUGUGUAAGUAUGCUUUUCAUUGUUUUUUUUCACUAUGUAACACUUCAUUAGAGUCUUACCAUUUGGAUUUUUUUUUUUUUUUUUAAACCUGUUUAUUAUAAAUGGUAGUCAGAGUGGUUAAUGGAUGCAACCAUUCUGACUGGUCUUGAAUUCAAGGCCAAAGUUCAAAUCCUGCAAAUUUAUACAGCUUAAAGGAUGACAAAAGGAAAAUGUUAAUAGAAAAAUUAAGCUUACUCAUAACAAAAUUGAAUUUCCAGUAAGAAGGAAGGUAGGGAAGAGAUCAAGAAGCAAUAUCCAUUGCUUGUUCUAAAGUCCUGUGUCUAUAUUUAAACCAAGAAACUAUUCUAAAAUAUACCAUGAUAAUUGAUGUAAUAUGAUUUUGUGAUCUCUUGAUUUUAGGAGGAGGGUUUCUGUUCUAACAGUAAGUCAGGAAAUCCUAAAUCAUCUGGUUUUGGGAGUCUCCUCGGACUUCCCUCACUUCCAAUCUAAAAACAACAUAUCUAUCUGAUUUUGAAUAGACCACUCCUCAAUUCAGUGCUGACUGUGUGAUAGCUUCUGGCCUCAGGAUAAUCCCAUGGACCAAAUUCCUGAGAUAAUAGUGAUAAUCUGUUGGUCAAUGAGAACCAAAUUACUUCCUACCUAUGAGCCAUAGAAUUAGCAUAUCAAUGCUGGAUAAAUGUGUCUUCUUGCUUUUUCUCUGCUGGAUUCUCUUAGAAUUCUUGUAAUGAAUUAUUACAAUAAAGUUUUGCUCCUUGGCUAAGCA